GCGUGGUAGGAGAGCGUUCUGUAAGCCUGUGAAGGUGUCUUGUAAAGGAUGCUGGAGGUAUCAGAAGUGCGAAUGCUGACAUGAGUAGCGAUAAAGGGGGUGAAAGGCCCCCUCGCCGUAAGCCCAAGGUUUCCUACGCAACGUUCAUCGGCGUAGGGUGAGUCGGCCCCUAAGGCGAGGCAGAGAUGCGUAGCUGAUGGGAAGCAGGUUAAUAUUCCUGCACCGUCGUAUGAUGCGAUGGGGGGACGGAUCGCGGAAGGUUGUCCGGGUGUUGGAAGUCCCGGUCCCUGCAUUGGAGAAGGCGCUCAGGCAAAUCCGGGCGCGGGAUUCAAGGAUGUGGGGCGAGCGGCCUAGUGCUGCGAAGCAAUUGGAAGUGGUUCCAAGAAAAGCCUCUAAGCUUCAGUCAUACGAGACCGUACCGCAAACCGACACAGGUGGGCGAGAUGAGUAUUCUAAGGCGCUUGAGAGAACUCGGGAGAAGGAACUCGGCAAAUUGGUACCGUAACUUCGGGAUAAGGUACGCCCUGGUAGCUUGACUGGCCUGCGCCAGAAGGGUGAAGGGGUUGCAAUAAAAUGGUGGCUGCGACUGUUUAAUAAAAACACAGCACUCUGCAAACACGAAAGUGGACGUAUAGGGUGUGACGCCUGCCCGGUGCCGGAAGAUUAAAUGAUGGGGUGCAAGCUCUUGAUUGAAGUCCCGGUAAACGGCGGCCGUAACUAUAACGGUCCUAAGGUAGCGAAAUUCCUUGUCGGGUAAGUUCCGACCUGCACGAAUGGCGUAACGAUGGCCACACUGUCUCCUCCCGAGACUCAGCGAAGUUGAAGUGUUUGUGAUGAUGCAAUCUCCCCGCGGCUAGACGGAAAGACCCCAUGAACCUUUACUGUAGCUUUGCAUUGGACUUUGAACCGAUCUGUGUAGGAUAGGUGGGAGGCUUUGAAGCGUGGACGCCAGUUCACGUGGAGCCGUCCUUGAAAUACCACCCUGGUUUGUUUGAGGUUCUAACCUUGGCCCGUGAAUCCGGGUCGGGGACAGUGCAUGGUAGGCAGUUUGACUGGGGCGGUCUCCUCCCAAAGUGUAACGGAGGAGUUCGAAGGUACGCUUGGUACGGUCGGACAUCGUACCUAAAGUGCAAUGGCAAAAGCGUGCUUAACUGCGAGACCGACAAGUCGAGCAGGUGCGAAAGCAGGACAUAGUGAUCCGGUGGUUCUGAAUGGAAGGGCCAUCGCUCAACGGAUAAAAGGUACUCUGGGGAUAACAGGCUGAUACCGCCCAAGAGUUCAUAUCGACGGCGGUGUUUGGCACCUCGAUGUCGGCUCAUCUCAUCCUGGGGCUGUAGCCGGUCCCAAGGGUAUGGCUGUUCGCCAUUUAAAGAGGUACGUGAGCUGGGUUUAAAACGUCGUGAGACAGUUUGGUCCCUAUCUGCCGUGGGCGUUGGAAUCUUGACGGGGGCUGCUCCUAGUACGAGAGGACCGGAGUGGACGUACCGCUGGUGUACCUGUUGUCUCGCCAGAGGCAUCGCAGGGUAGCUAUGUACGGAAGAGAUAACCGCUGAAAGCAUCUAAGCGGGAAACUCGCCUGAAGAUGAGGAUUCCCUGGAGGCUUGACCUCCUUGAAGGGUCGUUCGAGACCAGGACGUUGAUAGGCUGGGUGUGGAAGCGCAGUAAUGCGUUAAGCUAACCAGUACUAAUUGCCCGUAAGGCUUGAUCCUAUAACCAGUGUGUUUCACCUGGUGUGUGUGAUCGUGUCUGUGCC
rnacentral:rRNA from 1 species